AGGAUAAACGCUGGCGGCGUGCCUAACACAUGCAAGUCGAACGCGCUUUUUCGCAAGAGGAGAGCGAGUGGCGGACGGGUGAGUAACACAUGGGUACCUACCUUGGAGUGAGGGAUACCGGCGAGAAAUCGCCGACAAUACCGCAUACGCUUCUCUUCACCGGGAAGCAAAGUUGCGCAAGCGACGCUCUGAGAUGGGCCUGUGGCCGAUUAGCUAGUUGGUGGGGUAACGGCCUACCAAGGCGACGAUCGGUAGCUGGUCUGAGAGGACGAUCAGCCACACUGGGAUUGAGAACGGCCCAGACUCCUACGGGGGCAGCAGUGAGGAAUUUUCCGCAAUGGACGCAAGUCUGACGGAGCAACGCCGCGUGCAGGAUGAAGGUUUUCGGAUCGUAAACUGCUUUUCUCGGGUACGAGCAAGGACGGUACCCGAGGAAGAAGCCCCGGCUAACUACGUGCCAGCAGCCGC
rnacentral:rRNA from 1 species